rnacentral:rRNA from 1 species
ACUUAAAUUGAAGAGUUUGAUCAUGGCUCAGAUUGAACGCUGGCGGCAGGCCUAACACAUGCAAGUCGAGCGGUAGCACAGAGAGCUUGCUCUCGGGUGACGAGCGGCGGACGGGUGAGUAAUGUCUGGGAAACUGCCUGAUGGAGGGGGAUAACUACUGGAAACGGUAGCUAAUACCGCAUAACGUCGCAAGACCAAAGUGGGGGACCUUCGGGCCUCAUGCCAUCAGAUGUGCCCAGAUGGGAUUAGCUAGUAGGUGGGGUAACGGCUCCCCUAGGCGACGAUCCCUAGCUGGUCUGAGAGGAUGACCAGCCACACUGGAACUGAGACACGGUCCAGACUCCUACGGGAGGCAGCAGUGGGGAAUAUUGC